rnacentral:tRNA from 1 species
GGCUCCAUAGUAUAGUGGUUAGCACAUCUGCUUUAUACGCAGAGGUCCUGGGUUUGCGCCCCAGGUAAAGCCA